GUGUGAAGAGGGCUAAUGGAGGAGUGUGGAGGGCUAGUGGAGGAGUGUGUAGAGGGCUAGUGGAGGAGUGUGUAAAGGGCUAGUGGAGGAGUGUGUAGAGGGCUAGUGUAGGAGUGUAGAGGGCUAGUGGAGGAGUGUGUAGAGGGCUAGUGGAGGAGUGUAGAGGGCUAGUGGAGGAGUGUGUAGAGGGCUAGUGGAGGAGUGUGUAGAGGGCUAGUGGAGGAGUGUAGAGGGCUAGUGGAGGAGUGUGUAUAGGGCUAGUGGAGGAGUGUGUAGAAGGCUAGUGGAGGAGUGUGGAGGGCUAGUGGAGGAGUGUAGAGGGCUAGUGGAGGAGUGUGUAGCGGGCUAGUGGAGGAGUGUGUAGAGAGCUAGUGGAGGAGUGUGGAGGGCUAGUGGAGGAGUGUGUAGAGGGCUAGUGGAGGAGUGUGUAUAGGGCUAGUGGAGGAGUGAGUAGAGGGCUAGUGUAUGAGUGUAGAGGGCUAGUGGAGGAGUGUGUAGAGGGCUUGUGGAGGAGUAAAGAGGGCUAGUGGAGGAGUGUGUAGAGGGCUAGUGGAGGAGUGUGUAGAGGGCUAGUGGAGCAGUGUGACGAGGGCUAGUGGAGGACUGUGGAGAGGGCAUGUGGAGGAGUGUAGAGAGCUAGUGGAGGAGUGUGGAGGGCUAGUGGAGGAGGGUGGAGGGCUAGUGGAGGAGUGUAGAGGGCUAGUGGAGGAGUGUGAAGGGCUAGUGGAGGAGUGUGGAAGGCUAGUGGAGGAGAGUGUGGAGGGCUAGUGGAGGAGGGUGGAGGGCUAGUGGAGGAGUGUAGAGGGCUAGUGGAGGAGGAAAGAGGGCUAGUGGAGGAGUGUAGAGGGCUAGUGGAGGAGUGUGGAGGGCUAGUGGAGGAGUGUGUAGAGGGCUAGUGGAGGAAUGUGGAGUGCUGUUGGAGGAGUGUUUAGAGGGCUAGUGGAGGACUGUAGAGGGCUAGUGGAGGAGAGUAGAGGGCCAGUGGAGGAUUGUUGAGGGCUAGUGCAAGAGUGUGGAGGGCUAGUGGAGGAGUGUGUAGAGGGCUAGUGGAGAAGUGUGUAUAGGGCUAGUGGAGGAGUGAGUAGAGGGCUAGUGUAGGAGUGUAGAGGGCUAGUGGAGGAGUGUGUAGAGGGCUUGUGGAGGAGUAAAGAGGGCUAGUGGAGGAGUGUGUAGAGGGCUAGUAGAGGAGUGUGUAGAUGGCUAGUGGAGCAGUGUGACGAGGGCUAGUGGAGGACUGUGGAGAGGGCAAGUGGAGGAGUGUAGAGAGCUAGUGGAGGAGUGUGGAGGGCUAGUGGAGGAGGGUGUAGGGCUAGUGGAGGAGUGUAGAGGGCUAGUGGAGGAGUGUGGAGGGCUAGUGGAGGAGUGUGCAGAGGGCUAGUGGAGGAGUGUGUAGAGGGCUAGUAGAGGAGUGUGUAGAUGGCUAGUGGAGCAGUGUGACGAGGGCUAGUGGAGGACUGUGGAGAGGGCAAGUGGAGGAGUGUAGAGAGCUAGUGGAGGAGUGUGGAGGGCUAGUGGAGGAGGGUGUAGGGCUAGUGGAGGAGUGUAGAGGGCUAGUGGAGGAGUGUGAAGGGCUAGUGGAGGAGUGUGUAGAGGGCUAGUGGAGGUGUGUGGAGGGCUAGUGGGGGAGUGUGGAGGGUUAGUGGAUGAGUGUAGAGGGCUAGUGGAGGAGUGUGUAGAGGGCUAGUGGAGGUGUGUGGAGGGCUAGUGGAGGAGUGUAGAGGGCUAGUGGAGGUGUGUAGAGGGCUAGUGGAAGAGUGUGGAAGGCUAGUGGAGGAGUGUGUAGAGAGCUAGUGGAGGAGUGUGGAGGGCUAGUGGAGGAGUGUGGAGGGCGAGUGGAGGAGAUUGUUGAGGGCUAGUGCAAGAGUGUGGAGGGCUAGUGGAGGAGUGUGUAGAGGGCUAGUGGAGAAGUGUGUAUAGGGCUAGUGGAGGAGUGAGUAGAGUGCUAGUGUAGGAGUGUAGAGGGCUAGUGGAGGAGUGUGUAGAGGGCUUGUGGAGGAGUAAAGAGGGCUAGUGGAGGAGUGUGUAGAGGGCUAGUAGAGGAGUGUGUAGAUGGCUAGUGGAGCAGUGUGACGAGGGCUAGUGGAGGACUGUGGAGAGGGCAAGUGGAGGAGUGUAGAGAGCUAGUGGAGGAGUGUGGAGGGCUAGUGGAGGAGGGUGUAGGGGCUAGUGGAGGAGUGUAGAGGGCUAGUGGAGGAGUGUGUAGGGCUAGUGGAGGAGUGUGUAGAGGGCUAGUGGAGGUGUGUGGAGGGCUAGUGGGGGAGUGUGGAGGGUUAGUGGAUGAGUGUAGAGGGCUAGUGGAGGAGUGUGUAGAGGGCUAGUGGAGGUGUGUGGAGGGCUAGUGGAGGAGUGUAGAGGGCUAGUGGAGGAGUGUGUAGAGGGCUAGUGGAGGAGUGUAAAGGGCUAGUGGAGGUGUGUAGAGGACUAGUGGAGGAGUGUAGAGGGCUAGUGGAGGUGUGUAUAGGGCUAGUGGAGGAGUGUAGAGGGCUAGUGGAGCAGUGUGGAGGGCUAGUGGAGGAGGGUGGAGGGCUAGUGGAGGAGUGUAGAGGGCUAGUGGAGGAGUGUGGAGGGCUAGUGGAGGAGUGUGUAGAGGGCUAGUGGAGGUGUGUGGAGGGCUAGUGGGGGAGUGUGGCGGGCUAGUGGAGGAGUGUAGAGGGCUAGUGGAGGAGUGUUUAGAUGGCUAGUGGAGGUGUGUGGAAUGCUAGUGGAGAAGUGUAGAGGGCUAGUGGAGGUGUGUAGAGGGCUAGUGGAGGAUUGUGGAGGGCUAGUGGAGAAGUGUAGAGGGCUAGUGGAGGACUGUGUAGAGGGCUAGUGGAGGACUGUGGAGAGGGCAAGUGGAGGAGUGUAGAGAGGGCUAGUGGAGGAGUGUAGAGGGCUAGUGGAGGAGUGUGUAGAGGGCUAGUGGAGGUGUGUGGAAGGCUAGUGGAGGAGUGUAGAGAGGGCUAGUGGAGGAGUGUAGAGGGCUAGUGGAGGAGUGUGUAGAGGGCUAGUGGAGGUGUGUGGAAGGCUAGUGGAGGAGUGUGUAGAGGGCUAGUGGAGGAGUGUAGAGGGCUAGUGGAGGAGUGUGUAGAGGGCUAGUGGAGGUGUGUGGAAGGCUAGUGGAGAAGUGUAGAGGGCUAGUGGAG
rnacentral:lncRNA from 1 species